GCCCGCCUGGUGUAAUGGUAACAUGCCUCUUGGGUGCGACUUGCCGUAAGGGCCAGAGGAGUUCCGGGUUCGACUCCCUGGAGCGGGUA
rnacentral:tRNA from 1 species